rnacentral:rRNA from 1 species
AACGCUGGCGGCAGGCUUAACACAUGCAAGUCGAACGGGCACUUCGGUGCUAGUGGCAGACGGGUGAGUAACACGUGGGAACGUACCUUUCGGUUCGGAAUAAUUCAGGGAAACUUGGACUAAUACCGGAUACGCCCUUCGGGGGAAAGAUUUAUCGCCGAUAGAUCGGCCCGCGUCUGAUUAGCUAGUUGGUGAGGUAAUGGCUCACCAAGGCGACGAUCAGUAGCUGGUCUGAGAGGAUGAUCAGCCACAUUGGGACUGAGACACGGCCCAAACUCCUACGGGAGGCAGCAGUGGGGAAUAUUGGACAAUGGGCGCAAGCCUGAUCCAGCCAUGCCGCGUGAGUGAUGAAGGCCUUAGGGUUGUAAAGCUCUUUUGUCCGGGAAGAUAAUGACUGUACCGGAAGAAUAAGCCCCGGCUAACUUCGUGCCAGCAGCCGCGGUAAUACGAAGGGGGCUAGCGUUGCUCGGAAUCACUGGGCGUAAAGGGCGCGUAGGCGGACUCU